CCGGAUGUGGGUGUCUACGGCAAGCAUGACGGCUAACCAGAUAGAAACGGUUGGAACUUGAACGAGAUAAAUACCAGAGGGGAUUUUCAGAGAACUUACUCGAAGUGACUACGUGCGAAUAUACUCUUUGUGCCAUGGAAUAAAGAAAUGGGCAACACCCUGGUGGAAAGGCUGUGGAAAAGCAUGGCUCCGCUUGAGCACUGGGAGAUUUUCAAUGUAGUCAGCCCCCAGAAAGAUGGGCAGUUGGCUGGUUUGUUUGAUGAGUGCAUGAUGGAGCUUUGAAGUCAUGGCGAGGUGUGCAUUUAAUCUUAAACAUGGAGCAGCAUGCUUGUUUUCACAUCAAUCCAUCCCUCUGCUGGGAGGAGACUAGAACUCGGUACCGUGCAAGAAGUGAGAUAAUAAUGAAGUAACAUCAACAGCAGAUAUUAAAAAACAACAACAACAAAAGAAACCCAACAAUAAGAACAACAAAGCCCAAACCCAGACAGCUGACUGAAUGACACAGGAAGACACAUGGAAGGAAGUGAGGAAUGAUUUGUGACUGGAGUUUGCAAAAGAGUUCACUACAGUAUACGCUGAUGUUUGAUCAGGCCAGUGUCACAGCAAAGAUGCCUUUGAAACACUUUGGGUAAACGAUCCAUGAAUCAUUCUAUAUCCUCAAAGCAUGCUACACACGGCAGCUGUUUGCCUCCUAGCUUCUGUCUGGUUGGUUGGUUUUGGGUUCUGAGUAUAGUCUACCACUGAGAUACUCCCUCAACCCCUAACUUUGUGUCUGACUAUUCCAAAACACAAGGAAAGGCAUCCACUUGCUAUUAAAAACAAUGACUUCAUGAACGCAAAUGGAUGGAAUUAGGAAAUACCAUCCUGAGUGAGGUAACCCAGUUAAAAAAGAAGACACAUGAUAUCCAGUCACUGAUAAGUGGAUAUUAGCCUAAAAGCUCGGAAUAACGAGAUACAACCCACAGACUAUAUGAAGCUCAAGAAGAAGGAAGACCAAAGUGUGUUUGCUUCAGUCCUUCUUAGAAGAGGGAACAAAAUACUCAAGGGAGGGAAUACAGAGACAAAGUGUGGAGAAGAGGCUGAAGGAAAGGCCAUCCCACGACUGCCCCACCUGGGGAUCUAUACCAUAUGCAGACACCAAGCCCAGACAAGAUUGCAGAUGCCAAGAAGUGCUUGCUAACAGGAACCAGAUAUAGCUGUCUUCUGAAAGGCUCAACCAGAGUCUGGCAAAUACAGAGGCAGAAGCUUGCAGCCAACCAUUGGACUGAGCAUGGGGUCCCCAAUGGAGGAGUUAUAGAAAUUACUGAAGGAGCUGAAGGAGUUUGCAACUCACAAAGAACAACAAUAUCAACCAACCCGAUCCCCCAGAGCCCCCAGGGAUUAAACUACCAACCAGAGUACAUAUGGAGGGACACAUGGCUCGAGCUGCAUAUAUAGCAGAUGGCCUUGUUGAACAUCAACGAGAGGAGAGGCCCUUGGUCCUGUGAAGGUCGAUGUCCCAGUAUAGGGGAAUGCCAGUGCAGUAAGGUGGAAGUAGGUGGGUGGCUGGGGAGCACCCUCAUAGAAGCAGGGGGAGGGAGGAGACCAGGGGUUUCCAGAGAGGAAACCAGAAAAGGGGAUAACAUUUGAAAUGUAAAUAAAUAAAAUACCCAAUAAAUAUCCAAUUAAAAACAAACAAACAAAAAAGGAAAAUUAAGUGUUUUUCAGAAGAGGAUACAAUCAAAUUAAAUAGAAGUAGUGUGAUAGAAUUAAAUAACAGCAGUAUAAUUUGUUCGCAGAACAAGUUCCAUUUUAUCGUAGUGCUGUGACUUCAGGGAACAAGAAAAUAGCUGCCAAAGGAAAGGCAUUGGCAGAGGCUACUGGCAGCUGACAGCUGCUGAAGAUGAGGGUGGCUGGUCCUCAGUACUGUUAACACUGCUGGGUUCCCAGUGCCCUACUAAGUGACCAUCUGUGUUCCUGCAUGUAUCAACACACAUGCAGGAGUGAGUGUGCUAAGUGAAUAAACAAACAACUACAAGAAAAGUACAAGAAGUUGUGAGGGAGACGUGCUGAGGGUCCUGGGAGGGGCGGUAGGGUGGAGUGAGGGGUGGGGUGACCAUGAUGCAUUUUAUAUACAUAUGAAAAAUUUCAAAGACUGAAAAAAAAUGUAUUUUUUUUCCUGAACAGAAGUGAAUAGUCCUAUAUCUUUUGAAAGAGACUCCAAUCCCCCCCCCUCUCUCCCCUCAUUUUCUUUAAUCAAUAAAACUAAAACUCUUAGGGAAAAAGGUCCUUUAUUUCAAAAUAAACACGUUCUAUACUGGAGUGUUGCCAUUAUUCUUAAAAGAACGCAGUGUGGAAACCCAGGGUUUUGGAGGUGUGAACAAGAGCUCCUUGGAGAACGUUAGUCUUGAUGUUUCCAGCCAAGUAGCACUCUGAGUCUAUGUGGUGUUCAUUUAAUCAUGCCAGGCGUUAGGGAAAUGCUGGCUUUCUCCUGUGUUUUCUCAGAUCGGGUUUCAUUAUACUACUUUAUGGUUUAAAACCGUUUUAAAAUGUGCUCGGGGCAUUUCCCAACCACUUUCAUAGGCAGUUAAAGAAGAGGCCCUGCCUUCCCACACUAGGGGUUCCCCAUGACAGGAUGUUUUCCAAAGAAUUCCUCAGGAUCCUGGAACUUUUAAUCCUUCAUCUCCCACAGCUUUGACUCCCAUAGGAACUCCUGUCCUAAGGCCUUCAGCAACAUGCUAGGGUGGGCCGAAAAUAGCUUCUCCUCGUCAGCACUGGCUUCUUCUGUAUUCUAAUAUUUUCAAGAACUGAAGAUGCUUUCUGAACAUUCACAGGGCAAAUGAGGGUCAAUCUCAAAAAUCUCAAAAUCUCUGCUGAUUUUCCAGAGGAAAUGCCCUGGUUCCAUGGUAUAUCGUCUUCUGAGGCCUGGAGAACCCCACAUUAACAAACAAGCUGGUAUUUUUUUCACGGGAUGGGCUAUAACCCAGUUCCGUUCUGUCAUUUCAAGUGACAAGCUGGAUCAAAAGCUGGGUCCACCAUGUUUUCCUACUGUCCUUCGUAAUAUGGCCACAAGAACAUCUCAGGGUAUAAAAAUCUCCUUUUUUAUAACGCUGAACUUCUAUCUAGUUGUGCUGAAACUAAGUAAUCUCGACUAGUUUAUUUUUCUUUUUUUUUAAAGAGAGACACAACAGAUUUAGCAUGCAAAAGUAAGAGUCAAGGUAUUUUGAUGUGUUCUGGGUUUAGAGAACAUUCAGAGUGCCAUGGAAAAGUUUGACUUUUUUCCAAAAUGUUUGGGUCUUUUUUUUUUUUUUUUAACCUCAGAGCC